CGGGGGGGCAAGCGUUGUUCGGAAUUACUGGGCGUAAAGGGCGCGUAGGCGGCCUUCUAAGUCGGACGUGAAAUCCCCCGGCUCAACCGGGGAACUGCGUCCGAUACUGGAGGGCUUGAAUCCGGGAGAGGGAUGUGGAAUUCCAGGUGUAGCGGUGAAAUGCGUAGAUAUCUGGAGGAACACCGGUGGCGAAGGCGGCAUCCUGGACCGGUAUUGACGCUGAGGCGCGAAAGCCAGGGGAGCAAACGGGAUUAGAUACCCCGGUAGUCCUGGCCCUAAACGAUGAGUGCUUGGUGUGGCGGGUAUCGAUCCCUGCCGUGCCGAAGCUAACGCAUUAAGCACUCCGCCUGGGGAGUACGGUCGCAAGGCUG
rnacentral:rRNA from 1 species